CCUACGGGAGGCUGCAGUGGGGAAUAUUGCACAAUGGGGGAAACCCUGAUGCAGCGAUGCCGCGUGGAGGAAGAAGGUUUUCGGAUUGUAAACUCCUUUUAUCAGGGACGAUAAUGACGGUACCUGAAGAAAAAGCUCCGGCUAACUACGUGCCAGCAGCCGCGGUAAUACGUAGGGAGCGAGCGUUGUCCGGAAUUACUGGGUGUAAAGGGAGCGUAGGCGGGACGGCAAGUCAGAUGUGAAAACUGAGGGCUCAACCCGGGCCGGCCGUUGAAACUGGGGAUCUUGAGUGGGCGAGAAGUAUGCGGAAUGCGUGGUGUAGCGGUGAAAUGCAUAGAUAUCACGCAGAACUCCGAUUGCGAAGGCAGCAUACCGGCGCCCGACUGACGCUGAGGCACGAAAGCGUGGGGAUCGAACAGGAUUAGAUACCCUAGUAGUC
rnacentral:rRNA from 1 species